rnacentral:rRNA from 1 species
UACGGGGGGGGGCAAGCGUUGUUCGGAAUUACUGGGCGUAAAGAGCGCGCAGGCGGCCAAGUCAGUCGAAUGUGAAAGCCCCCGGCUUAACUGGGGAGGGUCAUUCGAUACUGCUCGGCUCGAAGACAGGAGAGGGAAGCGGAAUUCCCGGUGUAGUGGUGAAAUGCGUAGAUAUCAGGAGGAACACCGGUGGCGAAGGCGGGUCUCUGGGCCGAUAUUGACGCUGAGGAGCGAAAGCGUGGGGAGCGAACAGG